rnacentral:rRNA from 1 species
UACGAAGGGUGCAAGCGUUACUCGGAAUUACUGGGCGUAAAGCGUGCGUAGGCGGUUUGUUAAGUCCGUUGUGAAAGCCCUGGGCUCAACCUGGGAAUUGCAGUGGAUACUGGCGAGCUAGAGUGCGGUAGAGGAUGGUGGAAUUCCCGGUGUAGCGGUGAAAUGCGUAGAUAUCAGGAGGAACACCGAUGGCGAAGGCAGGUCUCUGGGCUGACACUGACGCUCAUGCACGAAAGCGUGGGGAGCAAACAGG